GGGUUGUGAGGUUAAGCGACUAAGCGUACACGGUGGAUGCCCUGGCAGUCAGAGGCGAUGAAGGACGUGCUAAUCUGCGAUAAGCGUCGGUAAGGUGAUAUGAACCGUUAUAACCGGCGAUUUCCGAAUGGGGAAACCCAGUGUGUUUCGACACAUUAUCAUUAACUGAAUCCAUAGGUUAAUGAGGCGAACCGGGGGAACUGAAACAUCUAAGUACCCCGAGGAAAAGAAAUCAACCGAGAUUCCCCCAGUAGCGGCGAGCGAACGGGGAGCAGCCCAGAGCCUGAAUCAGUGUGUGUGUUAGUGGAAGCGUCUGGAAAGGCGCGCGAUACAGGGUGACAGCCCCGUACACAAAAAUGCACAUGCUGUGAGCUCGAUGAGUAGGGCGGGACACGUGGUAUCCUGUCUGAAUAUGGGGGGACCAUCCUCCAAGGCUAAAUACUCCUGACUGACCGAUAGUGAACCAGUACCGUGAGGGAAAGGAGAAAAGAACCCCGGCGAGGGGAGUGAAAAAGAACCUGAAACCGUGUACGUACAAGCAGUGGGAGCACGCUUCGGCGUGUGACUGCGUACCUUUUGUAUAAUGGGUCAGCGACUUAUAUUCUGUAGCAAGGUUAACCGAAUAGGGGAGCCGAAGGGAAACCGAGUCUUAACUGGGCGUUAAGUUGCAGGGUAUAGACCCGAAACCCGGUGAUCUAGCCAUGGGCAGGUUGAAGGUUGGGUAACACUAACUGGAGGACCGAACCGACUAAUGUUGAAAAAUUAGCGGAUGACUUGUGGCUGGGGGUGAAAGGCCAAUCAAACCGGG
rnacentral:rRNA from 1 species